AGAUGUGAUUUUUUUUUUUUGCUUGAUUUAGAGAUAAAAGAAAUCUACUUAACUUUCUCGUCCUUAGCCUUCACCUUAUUUCUCCUUUCUUUUUUUAUUCUUGUCCUCGUUUUUUUUCUCUCUCUCUCUCUCUCUCUCCUUUUGCUAAGCAGAAAUCAUAUUUCUCAUGUAAGUAUAUGAGAAAUUUUAGUUACAUAUAUA
rnacentral:lncRNA from 1 species